rnacentral:rRNA from 1 species
UACAGAGGUCCCAAGCGUUACUGAGAUUCACUGGGUUUAAAGGGUGCGUAGGUGGCGUGUUAAGUCAGUUGUGAAAUCCCCGGGCUCAACCCGGGAAUAGCUUCUGAUACUGGCGUGCUUGAGGCCGGUAGAGGUUACUGGAACGGAAGGUGGAGCGGUGAAAUGCGUAGAUAUCGUCUGGAACGCCAGUGGUGAAGACGGGUAACUGGACCGGAUCUGACACUGAGGCACGAAAGCGUGGGGAGCGAACGGG